rnacentral:rRNA from 1 species
UACGGAGGGGGCGAGCGUUAUUCGGAAUUAUUGGGCGUAAAGGGCGCGUAGGCGGCUUCAUAAGUCAAAGGUGAAAUCCCUCGGCUCAACUGAGGAACUGCCUUUGAAACUGUGGAGCUUGAGGCCGGGAGGGGGUAGCGGAAUUCCCAGUGUAGCGGUGAAAUGCGUAGAUAUUGGGAGGAACACCAGUGGCGAAGGCGGCUACCUGGACCGGUAAUGACGCUGAUGCGCGAAAGCGUGGGUAGCAAACAGG